CGUCAAAUCAUCAUGCCCUUUAUGCCCUGGGCUACACACGUGCUACAAUGGUCGGUACAACGGGCAGCGACCUAGCGAUAGGAAGCGAAUCCCUAAAAGCCGAUCUCAGUUCGGAUUGCAGGCUGCAACUCGCCUGCAUGAAGCCGGAGUUGCUAGUAAUCGCGGAUCAGAAUGCCGCGGUGAAUACGUUCCCGGGUCUU
rnacentral:rRNA from 1 species